UUGAAAUCAUCGACCAGGUCC
rnacentral:siRNA from 1 species